rnacentral:rRNA from 1 species
CAGUCGCCGCGGUAAUACAGAGGGUGCGAGCGUUAAUCGGAUUUACUGGGCGUAAAGCGUGCGUAGGCGGCUUCUUAAGUCGGAUGUGAAAUCCCUGAGCUUAACUUAGGAAUUGCAUUCGAUACUGGGAAGCUAGAGUAUGGGAGAGGAUGGUAGAAUUCCAGGUGUAGCGGUGAAAUGCGUAGAGAUCUGGAGGAAUACCGAUGGCGAAGGCAGCCAUCUGGCCUAAUACUGACGCUGAGGUACGAAUGCAUGGGGAGCAAACAGGAUUAGAUACCCCGGUAGUCCCUGUCUCUUAUAC